rnacentral:rRNA from 1 species
CUGGUUGAUCCUGCCAGAUCCGACUGCUAUCCGGGUAAGACUAAGCCAUGCCAGUUGAAUGGUAUCGCAGAUACCAUGGCGUACCGCUCAGUAACAAGUGAUCAACUUACCCUUCAGUGGGGUAUAACCUCGGGAAACUGAGGCUAAUCCCCCAUAGUUGGAGCCUCCUGGAACGGUGCUCCAUCGAAAGAUACUACGUUAUGUCGUAGAUUCGCUGAAGGAUAGGAUCGCUCUCGAUUACGGUAGUUGGUGAGGUAAUGGCUCACCAAGCCUAUGAUCGAUAAGGGCCGUGAGAGCGGGAGCCCUGAGAUGAAUACUGAGACAAUGAUUCAGGCCUUACGAGGCGCAGCAGGCGCGAAACCUUUACAAUACACGCAAGUGUGAUAAGGUUACCCGGAGUGCCGAGAGAAAAACUGUCGGCUGUUAUAGGUGUGUAAACUACCCUAUGAGAAAGGAGAGGGCAAGGCUGGUGCCAGCCGCCGCGGUAAAACCAGCUCUUCAAGUGGUCGGGACUUUUAUUGGGCUUAAAGUGUCCGUAGCCGGUUUAAUAAGUUCCUGGUUAAAUCUGGUAGCUUAACUAUCAGUUCGCUAGGAAUACUAUUUUGCUAGAGGGUGGGAAAGGUUUGGGGUACUCCAGGGGUAGCGGUGAAAUGCGAUAAUCCUUAGGGGACCACCAGUGGCGAAGGCGCCAGACUGGAACACGCCUGACGGUGAGGGACGAAAGCCAGGGGAGCGAACGGGAUUAGAUACCCCGGUAGUCCUGGCUGUAAACGAUGCGUGCUAGGUGUUGGUAGGGCUCGGAGCUGUAUCAGUGCCAAAGGGAAACUGUUAAGCGCGCCGCCUGGGAAGUACGCUCGCAAGAGUGAAACUUAAAGGAAUUGGCGGGGGAGCACCACAAGGGGUGAAGCCUGCGGUUCAAUUGGACCCAACGCCGGGAAACUUACCGAGGGCAACAGCAGAAUGAAGGUCAGGCUGACGACCUUACCAGACAAGCUGAGUGGAGGUGCAUGGCCGUCGCCAGUUCGUGCCGUGAGGUAUCCUGUUAAGUCAGGCAACGAACGAGACCCACAUGCUUAAUUGCCAUCAAUGGCCUAAGGGUCAGUUGGGAACGUUAAGCAGACCGCCAUCAUAUAGAUGGAGGAAGGAGUGGGCCACGGCAGGUCAGUAUGCCCCUAAUCCCUCGGGCCACACGCGGGCUGCAAUGGUAUGGACAAUGGGUCGCGACUCCGAAAGGAGAAGCCAAUCUCGAAACCAUAUCUCAGUUGGGAUUGUCGACUGUAACCCGUCGACAUGAACGUGGAAUCCCUAGUAAUCGUGUGUCAUCAUCGCACGGUGAAUACGUCUCUGCUCCUUGCACACACCGCCCGUC